rnacentral:rRNA from 1 species
GGCGGACGGGUGAGUAAUAUAUAGGUAAUGUGCCCUAGAGAGGGGGAUAACAGUUGGAAACGACUGCUAACACCCCAUAUGCCUUUAAGACAAAAGUCUGCAAGGGAAAUAUUUAUAGCUCUAGGAUCGGCCUGUACGGUAUCAGCUAGUUGGUGAGGUAAUGGCUCACCAAGGCAAUGACGCCUAACUGGUUGAGAGGAUGAUCAGUCACACUGGAACUGAGACACGGUCCAGACUCCUACGGGAGGCAGCAGUGGGGAAUAUUGCACAAUGGGGGAAACCCUGAUGCAGCAACGCCGCGUGGAGGAUGACACAUUUCGGUGCGUAAACUCCUUUUAUAUAGGAAGAUAAUGACGGUACUAUAUGAAUAAGCGCCGGCUAACUCCGUGCCAGCAGCCGCGGUAAUACGGAGGGCGCAAGCGUUACUCGGAAUCACUGGGCGUAAAGAGCGUGUAGGCGGGUUAAUAAGUUUGAAGUGAAAUCCUAUGGCUCAACCAUAGAACUGCUUUGAAAACUGUUAACCUAGAAUAUGGGAGAGGUAGAUGGAAUUUCCGGUGUAGGGGUAAAAUCCGUAGAGAUCAGAAGGAAUACCGAUUGCGAAGGCGAUCUACUGGAACAUUAUUGACGCUGAGACGCGAAAGCGUGGGGAGCAAACAGGAUUAGAUACCCUGGUAGUCCACGCCCUAAACGAUGUACACUAGUUGUUGUGAGGCUAGACCUUGCAGUAAUGCAGUAAACACAUUAAGUG